rnacentral:tRNA from 1 species
GGUAAGAUGGCUGAGUUUGUAGGCGGUAGAUUGUAAAUCUAAGAAGGGGGUAUUAUUCCUCUUACCG